rnacentral:lncRNA from 1 species
UAAUAUUUCCACAAGAUCCUGCAAAGAGUAAAUCAGCCCCACACUUAAGAUUUGUGAAAAUAUCAAUAUUUAAUCGUGAAAAUAACAAUUCCCUAAAAUUAUGACAGCAUAAGCAGAAUCACAUGUUAAAUUCAGAGGCAAACAAUUACACUGUUCAAUUUCAGAUCAAGAGCAAGCAAAAACUUAAGUUCCACUGUUUAAAUAGCAUUAUGUAGUGCAUAGAAUCAAU